ensembl:lncRNA
GUGUGGGGCGAACACGUCUGCCCCGGACCAUCGCGGAUUUCCGCGGACGAGACUUCGUGGUGCAGGUGUUGGAUAAGUACAACCCUCCAGACCACUUCCUGCCGGAGUCAUACACGUGCUUCUUCCUGCUCAAGCUGCCUCGUUACUCGUGCAAACUGGUGCUGGAGGAGAAACUGAAGUACGCCAUACACUUCUGCAAUCCAUCGACACGGACGACUACGCUCGCAUCGCUCUGAGCGGAGAGCCCGCCGCCGACGACUCCACCGACGACUCGGACAACGACGACGCCGACUCCUUCGCCUCCGACUCCACACAGGACUACCUGACUGCACACUGACAUGCUCUCUCUCACACACUCUCACACGCGCACACUCUCACACGCACACUCUCACACGUACACUCUCACACGCACACUCUCACACGCACACUCUCCGAUGUCGAGAGUCGUCAAACAUGCUGCCAAGAAAAAAGAAAAGACACUCAAUCUAAAGAUGUGUUUAAAACUCCCAUAAACACACACACACACACACACACCACAUGUAUCUGUACUACCACAACUAAAAUCUUUAUGUGCAAUUAGCUUUAAAAGCACUAUAAGCUGGUGAAGAUAAAAUAAAACUUGGAAUUUUUUUAUUAGUUUAUUUAAAAAAAAAAAGAAGCCGGAGCCAGGGAGGGGGAGAAACUGGACAUCGUUUGAUCGAUUGUAGACGUCGUGUUUGUAUUUUCGGACCGUGUAGCCUAGCACUGUGCUGACGACCCCUGAUGGACUCGCUGUAUCGUUUAAACGAUCGAGCAGCAGCUUCUUCGUCCUUUUCUUUUCAUUUCCUCGGGGGAAUAAAAACGUGCAGUGCUUUUCUUUUCUGUUUUUUUUUUGUUUGUUUUUUUAAUUUUAAUUUUUUUACUUUUCCCCCGAAUAACCUUGAACACGAGCGCGAGCUGUCUCGCUCUGAUUGGUCGGUGUUAUCUGGAGCUCAUUCAGGGGUUGUUUUCAGGGCGUCGGUCGCCGUAUUCACUACCCAGACCCCUGCUCCGCCCUCCUCCUCCUCGUCCUCUGUGUCCGUGUGUGUUUGGCUUCCUGACGAACUGUAAAUAACGUUAUUGUGCCAUGUGUUCAUAAGACGUCUCAUUCCGAUGUAAUAAUGUUAAUAAAUUCCUGUUUAAAACAAACAUUAAACUGAAAUGUUACCGAUUGGUGUUCAUCUCCUUUAACAGCGGAGCAGCUACGUGUGUCACAGGUUUACCUUGCGUUCUAAUACGCUAUGCUUUCUAUAGUAAUGGCUCAUUCACUGGGACUUGUACCUUUUAUUCCUUAAAUAUUUAUAGCCCCAGUUCCAAAAAAGUUGGCACGGGGCAAAAAAAAAAAAGGCUGGAAAAGUAAGUGUUGGUAAAAAGAAUCAGCUGGAGGUUGAUUGGGAACGGGUCAGUGAGAUGACUGGGUAUAAAAGAGGGUCUUAGAGAGGCGGAGUCUUUCAGAAGUAAAGAUGGGCAGAAGUUCACCAAUCUGCGAAAAACUGCGUCUACGAUUUAUGGAACAAUUUCAGAAUAAUGUUCCUCAACGUAAAAUUGCGAAGACUAUAAAUAUGUCAUCGUCUACAGGACAUCAUAUCAUCAAAAGACUCCGAGAAUCUGGAGUAAUCUGUGUGUAAGGGACGAGGGUGAAAAUCAAUAUCGCAUGCCCGUGAUCUUCAGGUCCUCAGGCGGCACUGCAUUAAAAACAGGCCUGAUUCUGUAAUGGAAAUCACUGCAUGGGCUCAGAAA